GUGCUCACUUCGGCGGCACAUAUAUUAAAAUUGGAACGAUACAGAGAAGAUUAGCAUGGUCCCCUGUGCAAGGAUGACACACAAAUUUGAAAAGCAUUCCAUAUUUUU
rnacentral:snRNA from 1 species